GGCGACUUUGUCAGUACCCCAAACUGUCCCCGCAUGAGGUCACUCUGCACGGUCACGUGCUCGAGCCCGCGGGAGCGCCACAUCGCCAGCCGCACCCCUCCACCCCCAACCUGCCCACGUGACCCGGCCUAGUUUCUCCAGGCCCGUCCCUACGUCUCACUCGGGAAGCCCCGCCCCACGCUGAGCGCUCCGCCUGCGACCCUCCGCCACUUACCCACCCCGGCUCAAGCACGACCCGUGGAUCCACGUGCUUUUUCUUGUCCAAUGGGAGCCGGCUCCCGGGCGCGAAGGGGCGGGGAGGAAAGGAACGACUGUGCUACGUUGCCAGAAGGGGCGGGACCUGCAACGUCCGACAGAACGAGGGGACGUAACGGAGGCAGGUUGGAGCCGCUGCCGUCGCCAUGACCCGCGGUAACCAGCGUGAGCUCGCCCGCCAGAAGAAUAUGAAAAAGCAGAGCGACUCGGUUAAGGGAAAGCGCCGAGAUGACGGGCUUUCUGCUGCCGCCCGCAAGCAGAGCUUCUAGAACUGGAGCAGAAAGAAGGUGUGGCCCAGGGCCAGCCCCGCCUCCUCCCCGGGCGGAAGCUGUGUCAGUUGCCGGAAGUCGGCGUGAGGUGGGGCUUAUGCGGCGGCGUGGUGAAAUAGAUAUGGCGACCGAGGGGGAUGUGGAGCUGGAGUUGGAGACUGAGACCAGUGGACCAGAGCGGCCUCCGGAGAAGCCACGGAAACAUGACAGCGGUGCGGCGGACUUGGAGCGGGUCACCGACUAUGCAGAGGAGAAGGAGAUCCAGAGUUCCAAUCUGGAGACGGCCAUGUCUGUGAUUGGAGACAGAAGGUCCCGGGAGCAGAAAGCCAAACAGGAGCGGGAGAAAGAACUGGCAAAAGUCACUAUCAAGAAGGAAGAUCUGGAGCUAAUAAUGACUGAGAUGGAGAUAUCUCGAGCAGCAGCAGAACGCAGUUUGCGGGAACACAUGGGCAACGUGGUAGAGGCGCUUAUUGCCCUAACCAACUGAUGCGUGCUUUCUCAAAUAUACCUACUGGAUUAAUUUAUGGCAAUAAAAUUUUUUUUUGUCUUUUUCAGUUUUAUCAUCUUGGGUCAAGUAGAGUGUAUACUAUAUCCUAUGUUGUGGAGAAUUUAUAUGUUGGAGACUAACUGAAUUUAAGUGACCCAUUAAAAUCUAGCACACCUGUAUGAAAAAUCAGUGUAGAAGAAUACCUCAUGUGCAGAUGCUAGGUGGCAGGCCAGUCUCAUUCAUCUGACUAGCUCUCAACAGUAUUCAAGGUACAUCUGGAGUCUCAGCAGAGUUACUGUACUCAAAUGGCAUGUGUCUCCAAGACAGCUUAUGAAUAUCUAAAAGGCCAGCUACCUGCCUAGGAGCCACUAUAUAUAUAGAUAGAUGUAGGUUAUGAACCCAGUUCAUAGGCCACCUUGAGUUAGAAUUUUGGUACCUACAACAUGCUUGAUUUUGAGUGAUUAAAAAAAAAUAAUUUGGCUGGGUGCUGUGGCUCACACCUCUAAUCCCAGCACUUUGGGAGGUCGAGGCAGGUAGAUCACGAGGUCAGGAAUUCAAGACCAGCCUGGCCAACAUGUGAAACCCCGUCUCCACUGAAAAUAGAAAAAUUAGCUGGGCAUGGUGGUGGGCGCCUAUAAUCCCAGCUAUUCUGGAGGCUGAGGCAGGAAUCGCUUGAAAUUGGAAAGCAGAGGUUGCAGUGAGCUGAGAUCACACUACUGUACUACUGUACUCCAGCCUGGGGGAAAGAGUGAAACUCCAUCUCAAAAAAAAAAAAAAAAAAAA
rnacentral:lncRNA from 1 species